rnacentral:ncRNA from 2 species
AAGUGAAUAGGCGAUGACGUUCGCCAGGGGUAAGCAGGUUUUCUGCAUACCGCACAAACAUUACAGUAUGUAAUUAAUGACGCCUACAAUAUU